UCUCCCUCCUCUCUUCCCCUUAUACUCAACUCAUUGGUGCAGCAGAAAUAGCGACAAGAGCGACCCGUGCUUUCGCAGUCACACGGAGGGACUCUACAGAGACGGGGCCUGCCAGUUAUACUUAAUUCGAGACCGUCACUCCUGCACACGAUUUCCGUUGUACAGCAGCAGACACUUUGCUUCAGGCAGCUGCGCACCUCAAAAGAAGUGCCGUGCUUUAUGUGUGUGUGACUUCAUUUCUUCCUCGAAGCGCCAAAAGAUGGGAAAUACGUGCACCAAGACCGGCGAGGUGGUAGACAAUCGCAGCAAUGGCACUUCUGGCAGCAAGCACUUCAACCGAUACAGGACGAAGCAGUACGCCAAGCCGGAGGAUGUGCCGUCUCCUCCGGCAAACGAUGAGAGGGUAGCUGACCUUAAGAAAAUGACUGUGGUAAAGAAAAUUGAGGCACUUCAGCAUAUGCUGAAACCCGUCGUCUCUGUUGUACUGUCGGAGUUGCUUCAUGAAGAUUUCCGUCAGUUCACUUCCGUCUUUGCCCGCGGGAAGGCAGCGCUUGCAGUGGCGUCGUGUGCCCAGGCGCAGCGACCGCGGCAUAUUCUGGCAGCCGGUGAGGACAGGAGUGUGGCGCUGCUCAACUACGAGACGGGCCACGUGAUGCAGCGCUGGGUACACGCUCACCAAAACGACAUCAACUGCGUUACGACACCGACCUCGUCGGGAGUGUUUGCCACUGCCAGCCGUGACAAGACUGUGAAGGUGUGGAAUUUAACCUCGGACAGCUCCCUCGCGGAGCUGCGCGGGCACACGCUUACUGUGACCAGCAUCGACACGAACCCUGGCUGCAACCUACUCGUGUCGGGCAGCAAAGACAAUACAGUGCGCCUGUGGGACGUCAACAGGGCUGAGGAGCUGUUUUGUGGGGAUGUCAAGCUCAACAUUGUGCACUUUGUCCGCUUCAUGUCAUCCAUGAAUUGCGUCGCGCAGGGCGGCGAAGACUUGGCGGUUCGUCUGUGGGAUGUGCGUACAAAGGGCACGCACAGCGACCUGCACCUCUCCAAGACAAUCGAAGGAAUGGAUUACUAUCCGGUCUGCUGUGAAACAAUACCCGAAAAUCCGUACAUGCUGCUCACCGGUCAUAACGGCGUGAACGACUGUGGAUCGUACGUCGCACAGUGGGACGUGCGAACCGGAAAGCGCGUGGCUUUGUACAAAGGCCACGGCUCCACCGUCUCUAGUGUGCGAAUGGUGGCCGCCAGCGUGUACGGGAAUGGCUCCUUUUUCACCUCUAGCGAUGACGGGACGUUUGGUGUGUGGAACUUAGAAGACGGGGAAGCGAGUAGGGAGGUGCAGCUCUCGGUGGAGCAUCACUUUUGCCUCCCGGAGGGCCGCGUCACCACCUUCGAGGCGGAGGACAACGGCGACAUAGUAAUUGCAUUAGAAAACGGCUGCCUAGUCGUGCUUCGUCCCGCUGUCAAGGGCGACUCUGUUGUUCCUUCACUUCGACUGCGCUACGUCGGCGUGCUCACUGUGCAGUAAUGAGACAUAUGGCCGGAGAAGUAAUAUCAAGAGAGUCUUUUUUUUGCGUUUCUUUUUCUCGAUAUUGUGGUGAGACCUGCUCGCAUAAUCAGAAAAGAGAGGAAGAAGGCAGGGCCGGGGGUGGCUGUGACGCACAUGCAUGGACCCUUCCCUCACCCUCCCCCAUAUCAGAGUAUGUACGGCAUGUUUUUUCCUUGUUAAAAUAUUCGACUCUCUGCUUUGCUGCUGCAGUUCCACACGCCUUCCGACUCUUGUUGAAGUUGCCUUCUCCUUGUUUCUCUAAACGUACAGUGUUUCUUGAUCGCGUGACUAUGCCUCUGUGUGUAUGUGUCUUUUUUUUUGCGCUUCUUCUUUCCUCUUGCGCGUGUCGGUCGUGGGCUACACUUCUCUCUCAGCUUCCUC
rnacentral:misc_RNA from 1 species